rnacentral:rRNA from 1 species
AUUGAACGCUGGCGGCAGGCUUAACACAUGCAAGUCGAGCGGAGAUGAGGUGCUUGCACCUUAUCUUAGCGGCGGACGGGUGGGUAAUGCUUAGGAAUCUGCCUAUUAGUGGGGGACAACAUUCCGAAAGGAAUGCUAAUACCGCAUACGUCCUACGGGAGAAAGCAGGGGAUCUUCGGACCUUGCGCUAAUAGAUGAGCCUAAGUCGGAUUAGCUAGUUGGUGGGGUAAAGGCCUACCAAGGCGACGAUCUGUAGCGGGUCUGAGAGGAUGAUCCGCCACACUGGGACUGAGACACGGCCCAGACUCCUACGGGAGGUAGCAGUGGGGAAUAUUGGACAAUGGGGGGAACCCUGAUCCAGCCAUGCCGCGUGUGUGAAGAAGGCCUUAUGGUUGUAAAGCACUUUAAGCGAGGAGGAGGCUACUGAGACUAAUACUCUUGGAUAGUGGACGUUACUCGCAGAAUAAGCACCGGCUAACUCUGUGCCAGCCGCCGCGGUAA